CAUAUAUACCAGGAAAAACCAAGUAUCAUUCCACGGUUACAUGAAAGUAAUAAACUAAACAUAAAGUUUAUGUCAAAAUAAAUGCUUACAAAUAUUUGACUUUUUCAGGAAAACUAUCACUCACAAACACACCUGGAUCGCGCUUCUACUUUGACAACGAUAUUGGUAUCAUACAACGCUUCCAAAAGAGGAAUAAACUGUUAUCCUAAGCCUCAUAGCAAACGACACCAGCCAACUUUUAAAAAAUUUACGUUACCGCUUCCUACGUCAAUUAAAUAGGUACACUCAAAUACUAUUUUCUCUUACGAAUAUUGAAUUCCUCAAAACAAUUUAUUUUUCAAACUUACUGUCGUUUUUUUUUAAAAAAAAUGAUCACUGCUUCCAACGUCUUCACAUUAUAAAAUAAACAAAACAUAACUUACCCUUUCAGAAACUUCAAAACUCCCAAUUUUAAUUGAACUGGACUUUUAUUAAACAUGUAAUCCGUGCGAAGCGCGGACACCGACCCUAGUUGUUAAUAAUGACAAUUAUAUUUUAAUUCAUUAAGGGUACCUAUGUAAUUAAUCAUCAUAAGAAUAAGAAUUAAUGUGGGCGCGACAAGUAAGAAACUGACUUCUCAAAUAAUAUUAUAGAUUUCUUUUAACAAAUUAUGUUUCAGAAAAUUUUAGAGAUUUUAUUUGAAUUGUCAUUUUUUAUUUUAUAUAUAUAUAUAUAUUUAUAUAUAUUAAGAUAUUUUGAUAUUUCUGAAUUAUUAUUCCGUCUUCUAAUUUUUAUUUUUAUUGUUCUUAUUGUUUUUAUUAAAUAAUAAAAAUUAGAAAAAAAAAUUGUUUUCAUGUUUAUAGGUAAAGAUUAACUUUUUUUACUUGAUGUACAGAAAAAAUCAGGUUGAAAUUUUUUUGUGAUACGAAAACCAACUUGAUGGUUUAAUAUGCUUGUUAAAUAACUUUGAGGUUUAAAGUAUAAGUUAAUGCCACCUUAAAUGUUUUUAUACGAUUUUCUCUAUUUUUUCUAUUUUCAGUUUAGAGAAAUACAAAAACCGAAACCAAGUAUUCUUUAAAUUUUUUUCUCAAAUAUUUAAUUAAAUUGAUAAAGACACUGUAUCCAGCUCAACCGGUUGGUGAGGUCGGACCGGCCAUCCUGAGCACUUUCGAAUAAACUUGUGGCCCCGAUUUCCGAAACAUCGACUGCAUUAUAUAACUUGAACGUAUAACUGAGACCAAUUUUCUCUUGAGGAAUACGUGACGUUUCUGAUCGACAUUAUUUAAUUAGUACGAAAAAGAAAAGAUAUAUAAAUCGGAUUUUCGUGUUCCACAUGGUGUUAAGGAUUUUGUGUCGUAUAAAGUAGACACAUGUACAUUUGGGACAAUGCAUACACAAAUUAUAAGACCAUACACAUUUUUUUUUGUCACAAAUUCAUUACUAAUACGAAAAGGUCCAAGUUUACCCAUGAAUGAGCUUAAACAGAAAUAGCUCUCAAAGAGGUUUUUGCCAACGCAUUGACUUCUCCGUUGAGAUCUUUGAGAUCACGAUGAAUAUGCGAAAAGGAGAUAUUGUCGAACGCAGAGGAGAUGUUAUGGAUAUCACACACGAUUCCAUGAAUUUCUUUCACCUGCGUGUCCUGAUUGAUUGCUCUGAUGAGCAUUAGGUUGUCGGAAGACAUCCUGAGAUGCUGGAUCUCUAGGGUCGCUGCCUUGAUGAUUGCGAGUCUCAUUGCUAAGGCUUCCGCUAUGAGCGGUGAUUCUAUGAAGCUUUGGGUGCUUGAGCCUUUGAUUGGAGGGUUGAAGACCGCUCCUGUGAAGAUCCAGGCCAGGCCCGCUUGCUUUGAUUGUUUGUUCUAAGCCGCAUCUGUUUUGCAUAUUGUCUCUGAUUUCGUGGUUGUCGCUGCGUCUCUCAUCCUUCUUGCGUGAGGGUUAGCAAGUUUUGUUUCAAAGACCAAGGAGUUACACGCUAACCAGAUUGACCAGCAAACCCAAGGGAGGAUGCUAUUAGAGACUCCAGUUGGAGGGAGACACCGUCUGUCUCUGAAGUAGACUAUGACUUUUUAAAAAUCAUCCUCAGUAGCUAGGACCACUACUCUAUUGAGGAGAAUCAUCUUCCACACCUUAACCGCAAAUGGACAAAUAAAGAAUAUGUGCAUCGACGUUUCCUUAUCUUGGCAUUUAGGGCAUCUUAUCUCAUUUUGGAUUCCUCUCUUUUGCAGGUUCUCACCCAAAGGAAGGACUCCUUGUAUUAUCGACCACAGAAAGACUUUCAUUUUUGGUGAGAACUCACCCCUCCAGACGUCUUUGGUGAGAACUCACCCCUCCAGACGUCUUUCAGCCAAUCAAACUCCGUGCUAGCUUGGGUGAUUGUCCUUGGUAGGCUCCCAACUGCUGAGCAGUAUCCGGAUUUGGUUGUGUAGAUGCCUGACUUGGUUGGUUGCCAAUUAUACACAUCUUGCGCUCCAGUUUGGCUCGGUCUGAGGCACUUGAUCUCAGACGCUAGGAGAGAUAAAAGCUCAUCGAUCCUUUGAGUGUUCCAUUCUAGGGUAUAUAAGCAAAUCUGAAACUCUUAAGUCUAGCGCCGAUUAUUGAUAGGUCCAAACGGUUUGACAUUUUUGUGUAAAGAAAUCCAUGAAUCUUUCCAUACUUUUGUGUCUUGUC